UAGGGAAUCUUGGACAAUGGGCGAAAGCCUGAUCCAGCCAUGCCGCGUGAGUGAUGAAGGCCCUAGGGUUGUAAAGCUCUUUCGCCAGGGAAGAUAAUGACGGUACCUGGUAAAGAAACCCCGGCUAACUCCGUGCCAGCAGCCGCGGUAAUACGGAGGGGGUUAGCGUUGUUCGGAAUUACUGGGCGUAAAGCGCACGUAGGCGGAUUAAUAAGUCAGGGGUGAAAUCCCGAGGCUCAACCUCGGAACUGCCUUUGAUACUGUUAAUCUUGAGUUCGAGAGAGGUGAGUGGAAUUCCGAGUGUAGAGGUGAAAUUCGUAGAUAUUCGGAGGAACACCAGUGGCGAAGGCGGCUCACUGGCUCGAUACUGACGCUGAGGUGCGAAAGCGUGGGGAGCAAACAGG
rnacentral:rRNA from 1 species